ACCGGCAUUCCACCGCCGGCGCGGGCUACUGAAAAGGCUUGUCCUUCAUUGCCAGGUGUGCGGGCGGGAGCUUUCCCAACCAAUCCACGGCAGCACAGUUUGGUCUGAGUUUUAGGCUCUGUCGCGCUUCCAUCUCGCGACAAAGGCU
rnacentral:ncRNA from 1 species